CAAGACGUAGCUAUAACAUAAAGCAUUCAGCUUACACCUGAAAGAUAUCUGCCACCUACCGGAUCGUCUUGA
rnacentral:tRNA from 1 species